rnacentral:rRNA from 1 species
UACGGGGGGAGCAAGCGUUGUUCGGAUUUACUGGGCGUAAAGGGCGCGUAGGCGGCCUCCGCAAGUCAGUUGUGAAAUCUCCGAGCUUAACUCGGAAAGGUCAACUGAUACUGCGGGGCUAGAGUGCGGAAGGGGCAACUGGAAUUCUUGGUGUAGCGGUGAAAUGCGUAGAUAUCAGGAGGAACACCGGUGGCGAAGGCGGGUCUCUGGGCCGAAAUUGACGCUGAGGAGCGAAAGCGUGGGGAGCAAACAGG